CGAGUGCUCGCAUCAAAUGCGGGCUGUCCGCUUACUUAAAUCGUAAGCGUUAGCAAGGGCCGGGCAAGACCGGUGCCAGCCGCCGCGGUAAUACCGGUGGCCCGAGUGGUAGCCGCUUUUAUUGGGUCUAAAGGGUCCGUAGCCGGUUCGGUCAGUCCAUUGGGAAAUCCGGAUGCUCAACAUCCGGGCUUCCAGUGGAUACUGCCGAACUUGGGAUCGGGGGAGGUAAGAGGUACUAUAGGGGUAGGAGUGAAAUCUUGUAAUCCCUGUGGGACCACCUGUGGCGAAGGCGUCUUACCAAAACGAGUCCGACGGUGAGGGACGAAAGCUGGGGGCACGAACCGGAUUAGAUACCCGGGUAGUCCCAGCCGUAAACGAUGCUCGCUAGGUGUCAGGCAUGGCGUGACUGUGUUUGGUGCCGAAGGGAAGCCGUGAAGCGAGCCACCUGGGAAGUACGGCCGCAAGGCUGAAACUUAAAGGAAUUG
rnacentral:rRNA from 1 species